CUGGUAUUCCCUUCGUCCGGAAAUACUUAUCAUCAAAAUGGAUAAAAGGAGAUGUAUUUCAGUUCUAGAUACAACCUUUUUUGUCCAUUUUGAUGACAAGUAUUUUCAGACGGAGGGAGUAUUUC
rfam:Triticum urartu cultivar G1812 contig981491, whole genome shotgun sequence.